rnacentral:rRNA from 1 species
UACGUAGGGGGCAAGCGUUGUCCGGAUUUAUUGGGGGUAAAGAGCGUGUAGGCGGCCAUGUAGGUCCGGUGUGAAAACUCGAGGCUUAACCUCGAGAUGUCAUCGGAAACCAUUUGGCUAGAGUCCGGAAGAGGAGAGUGGAAUUCCUGGUGUAGCGGUGAAAUGCGCAGAUAUCAGGAAGAACACCAAUGGCGAAAGCAGCUCUCUGGGACGGUACUGACGCUGAGACGCGAAAGCGUGGGGAGCGAACAGG